UAAUACGGAGGGGGCUAGCGUUAUUCGGAAUUAUUGGGCGUAAAGGGCGUGUAGGCGGCUUCGUGUGUCCCAUGUGAAAGCCCUCGGCUCAACCGGGGAACUGCAUGGGAAACUGCGGAGCUUGAGUCCGGGAGAGGAGAGCGGAAUUCCCAGUGUAGCGGUGAAAUGCGUAGAUAUUGGGAGGAACACC
rnacentral:rRNA from 1 species